GACGGGGGGGGCAAGCGUUGUUCGGAAUUACUGGGCGUAAAGGGUCUGUAGGUGGCCAACUAAGUCAGACGUGAAAUCCCUCAGCUUAACUGGGGAACUGCGUCUGAUACUGGUUGGCUUGAGUGCAGGAGAGGAAUGCGGAAUUCCAGGUGUAGCGGUGAAAUGCGUAGAUAUCUGGAGGAACACCGGUGGCGAAGGCGGCAUCCUGGACCAACACUGACGCUGAUGAGCGAAAGCCAGGGGAGCAAACGGG
rnacentral:rRNA from 1 species